rnacentral:rRNA from 1 species
AUGACACAAAUAUAUGAGACAAGGAAAAAAUGGGCAAAGCCAUAUUUCAGGGGUGUGUUCUGUGCGAAGAUGACAAGUACCCAGCAAAGUGAGAGCGCAAACCACAUGCUGAAAUCUUACAUGCCGCCUGCGAGCCGAAUGCAUGUUUUCGUCCGGCAAUACACGAGACUUCAAUUUGACCGGGAACGCGACGAAAGCUAUGAGGAAAAGAGGACCAUGAUUGGAGGCGCCGUCCGGCGGACUAACCUUGCGAUUGAGCGGCAUGCCAGCAAAAUAUAUACCAGGAAUAUGUUUGAGGAAUUUGGCCGGCUGCUUUUAGAAGGGACGGCAUACAACGUUACUGAAGUUGAGAGGAUGAAGAAAUACAUCACAACACACAAUAAUGCAGCCAAGAGAGAGAAGUGGAGCAGAGUGGAAUAUGAGGUGACCAUCAACGAUGACAAAUCAAUAUUCACGUGCGAGUGUGGUCAGUUUGAACACACAGGGAUGCUUUGCUGCCAUGCCUUAAGGGUGAUGGAGAUUCUACAUUUGGACGAGAUUCCGAAGCACCAUAUCCUUAAACGGUGGACAAGAGACGCAAGGGAUAUACUCCCAGAUCACCUGGUUCAGUACCAGAAGGACAAAGCACAUAAUUUGUCUUUCACAUGCAGACACGCGAGGCUAUACUUUAAGGCCAUGGAGGUAGUGCGAAUGGGGGACGCAAGCAUGCUAUGA